rnacentral:rRNA from 1 species
UACAGAGGGUGCAAGCGUUAAUCGGAUUUACUGGGCGUAAAGCGCGCGUAGGCGGCUAAUUAAGUCAAAUGUGAAAUCCCCGAGCUUAACUUGGGAAUUGCAUUCGAUACUGGUUAGCUAGAGUGUGGGAGAGGAUGGUAGAAUUCCAGGUGUAGCGGUGAAAUGCGUAGAGAUCUGGAGGAAUACCGAUGGCGAAGGCAGCCAUCUGGCCUAACACUGACGCUGAGGUGCGAAAGCAUGGGGAGCAAACAGGG